rnacentral:misc_RNA from 1 species
GAUGAAAACGCAGCGAAAUGCGAUAAGUAGUGUGAAUUGCAGAAUUCAGUGAAUCAUCGAAUCUUUGAACGCACAUUGCGCCCCUUGGUAUCCCGAGGGGCAUGCCUGUUCGAGCGUCAUUUCACCACUCAAGCCUGGCUUGGUGUUGGGCGACGUCCCCUUUGGGGACGCGCCUCGAAACGCUCGGCGGCGUGGCACCGGCUUUAAGCGUAGCAGAAUCUUUCGCUUUGGAAGUCGGGGCCCCGUCUGCCGGAAGACCUACUCGCAAGGUUGACCUCGGAUCAGGCAGGGAUACCCGCUGAACUUAAGCAUAUCAAUAAGCGGAGGA